rnacentral:rRNA from 1 species
AGAGUUUGAUCCUGGCUCAGGACGAACGCUGGCGGCGUGCUUAACACAUGCAAGUCGAACGGACCUUCGGGUUAGUGGCGAACGGGUGAGUAACACGUGGGUGAUCUGCCCUGCACUUUGGGAUAAGCCUGGGAAACUGGGUCUAAUACCGGAUAGGACUACGCACUGCAUGGUGUGUGGUGGAAAGCUUUUGCGGUGUGGGAUGGGCCCGCGGCCUAUCAGCUUGUUGGUGGGGUGAUGGCCUACCAAGGCGACGACGGGUAGCCGGCCUGAGAGGGUGACCGGCCACACUGGGACUGAGAUACGGCCCAGACUCCUACGGGAGGCAGCAGUGGGGAAUAUUGCACAAUGGGCGCAAGCCUGAUGCAGCGACGCCGCGUGAGGGAUGACGGCCUUCGGGUUGUAAACCUCUUUCGCCAGGGACGAAGCGCAAGUGACGGUACCUGGAGAAGAAGGACCGGCCAACUACGUGCCAGCAGCCGCGGUAAUACGUAGGGUCCGAGCGUUGUCCGGAAUUACUGGGCGUAAAGAGCUCGUAGGUGGUUUGUCGCGUUGUUCGUGAAAACUCACAGCUUAACUGUGGGCGUGCGGGCGAUACGGGCAGACUGGAGUACUGCAGGGGAGACUGGAAUUCCUGGUGUAGCGGUGGAAUGCGCAGAUAUCGGGAGGAACACCGGUGGCGAAGGCGGGUCUCUGGGCAGUAACUGACGCUGAGGAGCGAAAGCGUGGGGAGCGAACAGGAUUAGAUACCCUGGUAGUCC